UACGAAGGGGGCUAGCGUUGUUCGGAAUCACUGGGCGUAAAGCGCACGUAGGCGGAUUGUUAAGUCAGGGGUGAAAUGCCAAGGCUCAACCUUGGAACUGCCUUUGAUACUGGCAAUCUCGAGUCCGGGAGAGGUGAGUGGAACUGCGAGUGUAGAGGUGAAAUGCGCAGAUAUCAGGAAGAACACCCGUGGCUAAGGCGGCUCUCUAGUACGGUACUGACGCUGAGACGCGAAAGCGUGGGGAGCGAACAGG
rnacentral:rRNA from 1 species